CACAACUUGAAUUCCUCUAAUAAAAUUUCCAAUCUAUUAAUUUUCCUCCCCUAAAAUUUCAGUUCCCCCCAUUACUAGAAUUUCAAUUCCCUCCCAAAUCAAAUCCCUAAAUAAAUCGCAACAAAUUUGGAUUCUCUUCCAUACUUAAUCUCUCCUUGAUGAACCCUAGUUAAUUUUCCGCUCCGAUCGUUUUCUUAUGGCCUUUGUGGAUAGGAUCAUGAAAGAGAAAUGGCAGCAGACGAACUGCAAUGGUUGAAGAUGAUGGACAUCCUUUUUGGGUUCCAUUUGAAUGAUGUCACUGGGAUUACAGCAAUUACUGCCACGCCAAUACAUGAUCCGUCUUUGUGGGAUAAUUUGCCCAUUGGCUGCUGGAGAAAACCAUUAAUUAAGACUGGGAGUUGCUAUAACAACUUUGGUCAAUGGACAGGGAAUUAAAGAAUAGUUGUCACUCUGCCGCAGCAUUGCCGCACCGCCGCACCACCUUCACUCUGUUGGAGCACCUCCAUCUCGCCUGAUUCUCCAACGCCACUUCGAAAAUGUGGCGACAAGUCGCCGCUAUUGCGCAACUUCUUUGUAGUGAUAAUGUGGAACCUGAGGCUGCAGAUCCCUUGAUGGAGGUAUUAUGCAUUAUGAUUUAGAGACGGAUGAUAGUCCCAGCCCAACACCUUCUGAGACUGAGUUUGCUCACCAAAACCUAUUACUACUUCAUCGAGGAUCUCAUUAUGUAGUAAACUCUUCAAACUUAAAGGUGCUUCAUAUGUUCAAUAAUGAUAAAUAUGGUUGAAUAUAUGCAUUCACGAGGUUUCCUUCACCGUGAUAUAAAGCCAGAUAACUUUUUGAUGGGUUUAGGGCGAAAGGAAAAUUAGGUUUACAUUAUAGAUUACGGUCUGGCCAAAAAGUAUAGGGAUUUCCAGACACAUAAGCACAUACCAUACAGAGAAAACAAAAAUCUCACUGGUACUGCUCGUUAUGCCCGUGUUAAUACCCACCUUGGAGUUGGUCGGAGAUAAAGUUUUUCUCAAAAGCAUUCUGAACUCUACCGAGACUGUAGCAAGAGGAAGGGUCCAGAGCUUGGACCCAAAUGAUCUAGUUGGUGGUACAGAGAUUGGACCAGAAUGCUGUGAGGUAAACGUUCAAGUACCAAUAAAAAAAGGAUGAAAACUUGGUAAGAGCAUAUGGUUUAUUUUCUACAAUUCAAGAUUGUAUUAGUGUAUCCAUCGCAUGGCCCUAUCCAUUAAUCUUGGUAUGUAUUUGUUAAACUUGUGAUACAAAUAAUUUUAAUGUCAUGGAACUUAAUGCUUAUACAUGUAUGGUUGAUUUGUAGGUAGUCCAUGAGGAUUGAGGACUCAAGAUUUUAUCCUUCUUAUUUCUUUAAUUGUAUUAAUUUCGUUGUUAAAUGUUAAGAAUUUAUGUUAGAUAAUGUUAUAACGUAUUUAUGGUUAGUGUUUUUGUUAAGAACAUGCUUAUUUGAAAUAUAAUGAAGUUUUAUUUCUUUCA